CAGACGUAAGAGCCCGUUCCACCCCAUGAGUUUUUUUUACAGACCCCCCUAAUUAGCAUUAGAGAAAUUCACUUGAGACAAGACAGUAUUUGACCUCAGGCAAGACAACCGGGAAGGUGCCAGAUGAGUAGCAAGGAAGCCUUCUUACCUGGGUCAUCUUCAUCCCGAGGCACCUUCUUGAAGCAAUCGUUGAGAGACAGAUUGUGGCGUAUGGAAUUCUGCCACCCAGCUUUGCUUUUGUUGUAGAAGGGAAAGUUGUCGGCAACAUACUGGUAGAUUUGGCUGAGUGUCAGCCUCUUGUCUGGAGCUCCGUGGAUGGCCAUGGCAAUGAGUGCUGAAUAGGAGUAAGGCGGCCUCACCAGCUUCAUCAGCUCUUCUUGUGAUGGCAUCUGGAGCCAGCCCAUUUCAUUCCCUGCCAAGCCAUGCAUGUUGGGCAAGAGCUGCCUUUGGAUUCCGUAGGAUGGUGGGAUGUACGGACUACCAUUGAAGCCUGGGAGAGAGAAGUAGAACAACUAGAAGGUUGACCGGACAUGAGAAGGUCAGAAAGGAGCUGUGCCAUACUCCAGGAACAAAUGAAUUGAUACAGAGGUGCUGUAGCACAGAAUGAGAUAUGAAAUUUCCUUUUGUGGACCUGGUUGUGAAUUAUUGAGCAGCUGUCAAGUGCACUUCAUAGGAAGUUCCAAUAACAUAAAAGAUGGGAUUUUGUGCAAAGUU